AAAAAAUAUAUAUAAAUGGUAAAAUAAGCAUGCAGAGUAUGGCUUAAUUAUGCCCUUGAAUACAAAAUGGUGCUUGUAGUAUUGCCAAGACUGUUUUUAAAAAUGUUCAGUAUAAUCUUCAAACCUACUGUAGAUCUCCUUUUAGAGUCCCCACAGCAGGUCUACUGUAGAUCUCCUUUUAGAGUCCCCACAGCAGGUCUACUGUAGAUCUCCUUCUAGAGUCCCACAGCAGGUCUACUGUAGAUCUCCUUUUAGAGUCCCACAGCAGGUCUACUGUAGAUCUCCUUUUAGAGUCCCACAGCAGGUCUACUGUAGAUCUCCUUUUAGAGUCCCACAGCAGGUCUACUGUAGAUCUCCUUUUAGAGUCCCACAGCAGGUCUACUGUAGAUCUCCUUUUAGAGUCCCACAGCAGGUCUACUGUAGAUCUCCUUUUAGAGUCCCACAGCAGGUCUACUGUAGAUCUCCUUUUAGAGUCCCACAGCAGGUCUACUGUAGAUCUCCUUUUAGAGUCCCACAGCAGGUCUACUGUAGAUCUCCUUUUAGAGUCCCACAGCAGGUCUACUGUAGAUCUCCUUUUAGAGUCCCACAGCAGGUCUACUGUAGAUCUCCUUUUAGAGUCCCACAGCAGGUCUACUGUAGAUCUCCUUUUAGAGUCCCACAGCAGGUCUACUGUAGAUCUCCUUUUAGAGUCCCACAGCAGGUCUACUGUAGAUCUCCUUUUAGAGUCCCACAGCAGGUCUACUGUAGAUCUCCUUUUAGAGUCCCACAGCAGGUCUACUGUAGAUCUCCUUUUAGAGUCCCACAGCAGGUCUACUGUAGAUCUUCUUUUAGAGUCCCCACAGCAGGUCUACUGUAGAUCUCCUUCUAGAGUCCCCACAGCAGGUCUACUGUAGAUCUCCUUUUAGAGUCCCAGAGCAGGUCUACUGUAGAUCUCCUUUUAGAGUCCCACAGCAGGUCUACUGUAGAGCUCCUUUUAGAGUCCCACAGCAGGUCGACUGUCUUUGUAAAACUAGUUGGGAGGAUAGGGUCUGAAAAAGAUACAUUUUCCUGAGAACGCGCCAUUGAGUCGGCCGAGUAGGAGAACAUAUAUCAAAGUCCAACGACACAUUCAGAAAGUAAGACGUAGAUAUAGUUACAUAUUAAAACACAAGAUACAUCCAUUCUGAAUGCACACCCAAUUGGUAUAAAACAAAAACACACAAACCACGAAAAACGU